GCUUUUAACAUGCAGUCGAACGGUAACAGGGAGCUUGCUCCGCUGACGAGUGGCGAACGGGUGAGUAAUGCAUCGGAACGUGCCGUGUAGUGGGGGAUAACGUAGCGAAAGUUACGCUAAUACCGCAUACGCCCCGAGGGGGAAAGUGGGGGACCGCAAGGCCUCACGCUAUACGAGCGGCCGAUGUCGGAUUAGCUAGUUGGUAGGGUAAAGGCCUACCAAGGCGACGAUCCGUAGCGGGUCUGAGAGGAUGAUCCGCCACACUGGGACUGAGACACGGCCCAGACUCCUACGGGAGGCAGCAGUGGGGAAUUUUGGACAAUGGGCGCAAGCCUGAUCCAGCCAUGCCGCGUGAGUGAAGAAGGCCUUCGGGUUGUAAAGCUCUUUCAGACGGAAAGAAAUCGGUGCGUUUAAUACAUGCACUGGAUGACGGUACCGUAAGAAGAAGCACCGGCUAACUACGUGCCAGCAGCCGCGGUAAUACGUAGGGUGCGAGCGUUAAUCGGAAUUACUGGGCGUAAAGCGUGCGCAGGCGGUUAUGUAAGACAGAUGUGAAAUCCCCGGGCUCAACCUGGGAACUGCGUUUGUGACUGCAUAACUAGAGUACGGCAGAGGGAGGUGGAAUUCCACGUGUAGCAGUGAAAUGCGUAGAGAUGUGGAGGAACACCGAUGGCG
rnacentral:rRNA from 1 species